GAGGGUAUAGCUCAAAGGGGUAGAGCACAUGCUUAGCACGCAUGAGGUCCUGGGUUCAAUCCCCAGUCCCUCCA
rnacentral:tRNA from 1 species